AUGGCUCCAGCAAAACUGACCUGGGAUCUCCUCAGUAGGGCCAGGCAGAGAUCUUACAGGCUACAAGCACAGGCAGUAGGCCGAAUAUCCUACACACACAAUUUCAAUUCAUCGGGGUUUCUGUGCAGGACGAUGGGCACGAAGAGUUGGUUGCAGAUGACUACACCAGGGGUGAUUGUACACAGAAACUAUAUAUGCAAUUUUACCAACAGAUGCAGAAAGAAUGAGACACCUUCUGACUGUCAUUGCUGCCACCAGCAAGGAGGAAAACACCUGAUAAAAGGUUGGGACUUCUGGGAUGUUCUUGACAUCAACCUGCAAAAUGGCCACAGCUUGGAGGGACACCUGACCUUUUGCCACCAGCUAUUCGUGUUAAACCAGUGCAGCACCAACGGGGAGCUUUAGCUAAGAUGCUGCUGACAGCACUGAAAAUAGUGGAAGUCCUGUGACCACCAUCACACCCUCUGUCACCUGCAAGAAAUGAAAAAUUUAAGAAGGCAAACAGAUGCUCAUGAAUGUCACUGCUGCACCUUUGUGAUUUUAAAUUAGAGGUUGUAAACAGUCACAGAAUAAAGUUGCAUGUUUUACACA
rnacentral:lncRNA from 1 species